GGCGCCGGGCCGCCGCGGCCGGGAGGAGGGCAGGCCGCAGAUCGGGAAACGCCGCCCCGCGGUGAUGGAGAAACUUGGGAAAGAUGUGACCGAUGUUUGCCAGCAAAUGAAAAAAUUUUCAGUGCAAUACUGCUGUACCAUCAUGUCCUCCAUGGAGAUACGUGUGAAAAUGAGCUUAUGCUGACAAAGUGAAAAGCCUGAAAAUGUGACAUACUCUGCAAGCCUGUUUCUGCUCUUGCUACAACAUUGCAGCGCUUUGCAGCUGAUUGCAUUAAAGGCUUGGGCUUUGCAAGAGGAGGUAAGAAAACACAGAAUUUUAAAUUGCACCUCCUGCAACUC